rnacentral:rRNA from 1 species
AAGCUCGUAGUUGAAUUUCGGGCCUGGCUGGACGGUCCGCCCUUCGGGUGAGUACUGUCUGUGGUCGGGUCCUACCUUCUGGCGAAGCGUCAUGGCCUUAACCGGCCGUGGCGGGGAACCAGGACUUUUACUGUGAAAAAAUUAGAGUGUUCAAAGCAGGCAAUCGCUUGGAUACAUUAGCAUGGAAUAAUGGAAUAAGACAAUGGUUCUAUUUGUUGGUUUCUAGGACCGUUGUAAUGAUUAAUAGGGAUAGUUGGGGGCAUUAGUAUUCAAUUGUCAGAGGUGAAAUUCUUGGAUUUAUUGAAGACUAACUACUGCGAAAGCAUUUGCCAAGGAUGUUUUCAUUAAUCAAGAACGAAAGUUAGGGGAUCGAAGACGAUCAGAUACCGUCGUAGUCUUAACCAUAAACUAUGCCGACUAGGAAUCGGGCGAUGUUGAAAAAAUGACGCGCUCGGCACCUCAUGGGAAACCAAAGUGUUUGGGUUCCGGGGGGAGUAUGGUCGCAAGGCUGAAACUUAAAGGAAUUGACGGAAGGGCACCACCAGGGGUGGAGCCUGCGGCUUAAUUUGACUCAACACGGGGAAACUCACCAGGUCCAGACAUAGUAAGGAUUGACAGAUUGAGAGCUCUUUCUUGAUUCUAUGGGUG